rnacentral:rRNA from 1 species
GUCUACGGCCAUGCCACCCUGAACAAGCCUGAUCCCGUAUGAUCUCAGAAGCUAAGCAGGGUUAGGCAUGGUUAGUACUUGGAUGGGAGACCAUCUAGGAAGACCAGGUGCUGUAGGCA